UACGUAGGGUGCAAGCGUUGUCCGGAAUUAUUGGGCGUAAAGAGCUCGUAGGCGGUUCGUCGCGUCGGCUGUGAAAUCCCGAGGCUCAACCUCGGGUCUGCAGUCGAUACGGGCGGACUAGAGUGUGGUAGGGGAGACUGGAAUUCCUGGUGUAGCGGUGAAAUGCGUAGAUAUCUGGAGGAACACCGGUGGCGAAGGCGGCAUCCUGGACCAACACUGACACUGAGGAGCGAAAGCCAGGGAGCAAACGGGAGUUAGAA
rnacentral:rRNA from 1 species